rnacentral:lncRNA from 1 species
UUUAUUCUUCUUCUUCACUGAUUUUCUCGGUUAAUACCCUGAAAUUGGUACCAACUUCUUUGAGGAUUAUUCUCCUAGAUUAACACAUUUCGCCCAAAUUCCUUAUUCUUGCAUCAAUUGGUAUUAGAGCCACUCGUUUUCUGCUCAAUCAAUCAUGAUAGUUCAUAAAAAAAGCACAGACAAAUAAAAUGAGGAAUUCGAUGGUAAGCUUUCUUAGAUUCAUCAGUUACAGAAAUUAAUUGAGGGAAUAUCGAGCAUUUAUGAGAUGGAUGUUCAAAUUGAUAAUGAAUCCUUGGGGAUCAAAGAAAACCUGGGAUCGUUGAUGCCCAAAGAGAAAGAAAAAGAGCAGGGAAGAGUUGAAUCAUCCACCAUCAGAAGUUGUCCAGUUGGGAUGCAGAGUGAAGGUCGUAAUAAGGAAUUCCAUGGAGCUGGAAAUUAUGGUAAUGGACAAUUUUUUAAUCAAUUCUCCAAAUUGGAUUUUCCUUUUUUUUUUUUUCUAAUUGUGAAUUGUACACUUGGUUAUACAAGGUUGAUCAAGUAUUUCCAUAGAGGAAAUUCCUUUUGAACAGAGGGUGAAAGUUGCUUUCAUCCAUUUGGAUGAUGAAGUUAUUGCAUGACAUAGGUCGUAUAUGAACUCUAGAAAUGUUGCUUUUGAACUCUAAUGGACUGAGUAUGUGUUGGCCCUAAAUGCGAGAUUUGGGGAUGGAUUUGAAGACCCAAUGGAGGCUUUGAAAAAUUUAAGGCAAAUUGACAAUGUUAGAGAAUAUCAAGCGGAAUUUGAUCGGUUCUUAACAAUAGUUAAUCUAUCAAAUGAGAAUGCUAUAAGUUGUUAUUCAGGGGGGUUAAAGCCAAAGUUGAAUAAGGCAGUCAAAUUCAAGCACCCAAGACCUUGGCCCCAGCUUAUAAGAUUUCAAGGCUUCAGGAAAGGGUGUUUGAGGCUCAGGCUCAGACCUGGGGUUUUAAACAAGCUCAGAAGGGGGUUAAAGCAAUUUUACCAACUCCAAAUCAGUUUAGGCUAUCUAAUUUCCAGAAAACCUCUGCACGUCAGCCUAAUAUAGAUAAACCUAACAAGUUUAGGAGGCUAACAACUGCUGAAAUAGAUAUAAAAAGGGCUAAAGGUCUGUGUUUUUUCUGUGAUGAGAAGUAUGUCGUUGGACAUAGUUAUAGUGCAAUUGUUUAUAGUAGAAUUAAUGAAGGAGAGUAUUUCUAAUGAAUGGGAAGGACCUGAAUUGAUAGAAGAAGAUUUUGACAUUCCUCAAGGUGAGGAGAAACUGAUGACUAUCUCAUUACAAGUUUUCACUGGUGCUGUUGGGUAUCAGAAAAUUAGGGUUACUGGUUAUCAUGAGAAAAGACCCUUACAAGUCCUAAUUGACACUAGAAGUACCCAUAAUUUCAUUAACCAAGAAGUGUCCAAGAAGUUAGGUUGUAAUGACAGUACUAUAGUUGAACAAUCUGUUAGUGUGGCUGUUGGUAGACAAGUAUAAACUACAUCUAUUUGCAAGAAUUUACAGUAGUUAUUACACGGAACCACAUUUUCUUCUAAUUUUUUAUUAUUACCCUUGGGUAAUGUAGAUAUUAUUUUGGGGGUGCAAUGUUUAAAUACCCUUGGUAGGACUACAUGACUUUAAGAACAAAUUAAUAAAAUUUAUGUAUUAAAAGAAGAGGCGUGUAUUGAGAGGUGCUACCAGUCAACUUAAAUCCUCUAAGGCUAGCUCUUUGAUCAAGAAGAUAGAUUCUGAGGCCAAUUACUACCUGAUGGAAAUGGUUGAUACUAUAAUAUCAUAGAUAUAUUAUCACAACAUACAGGCUAUACAAGGUACAGACCUACAUCCUACAUUAUCUGCAUUGGUGUAAUAGUAUUCUAUUAUCUUUGAGCCACCUACUAUAUUACCUUUACAUAGGGGAUAAUUUGAUCACAAAAUACCACUUAUUAAGUCUGCACCAGUAAAUAAAAGACCCUAUAGAUACCCUGGUGUGAAGAAAGAUAUCAUAGAGAAACUCAUUCAGGAAAUGUUAGAUCAAGGUAUGAUUCAACACAUCUCUAGUCCUUAUGUUUUUCCUGUUGUAUUGGUGGGUAAAAAGAUGGUAGUUGGAGGUUAUGUGUUGGCUACAGGGAAUUAAAUUAGCUAACUAUCAAAUAUAAAUUUCCCAUUCCUAUCAUUGAAUAUUUGUUAGAUGAUUAUAUGGAGCUUCUGUGUUCUCUAAGAUAGACCUUAAAGCUGGUUACCAUCAACUAAGAAUGAUUGAGAGUGAUACUCAUAAAAUAAAUUUCAAAACUCAUGAAGUUUACUAUGAGUUCUUAGUUAUACCUUUUAUCCUGACUAAUGCACCAUCCUCAUUUCAAAUCCCGAUGAAUGUUGUUUUCAAACCAUUAAUAAGGAAAUCAGUGUUAGUCUUCUUUGAUGAUAUUUCAAUCUUUAGUAAUUCCAUGGCUGCUCAUACUACUGUUGUUAAGGUGGUGUUUGAUAUCCUGAUUAAGCACCAUUUGUAUGCCCAAAAUAGCUAAGUAUGCAUUUGGGGUGCCUAAAGUUGAGUAUUUAGGCCAUGUAAUUAGUGCACAAGGUGUUGCUGCUGAUCUAAAGAAAAUACUAGCAGUUUAGCAGUGGCUAAUUCCUAUCAAUCUUAAAAAGUUAAGUGGAUUUCUUGGUCUUGCUGAUUACUAUAAAAGGUUCAUAAAAGGGUUUGGUGCAAUUUGUAGGCCCUUACAUGAUAUACUUAAGAAAGUGAUCUACUUAAGAAAAAAGGGUUCUUGUGGAAUGAAAAUGCUACUAAAGAUUUUGAAGAACUGAAACAAGCACUGAUUUCUGCUCCUAUUUUGGAUAUGCCUAAUUACAAUCAGACCUUUGUGGUGGAAAUAGAUGCUAGUAGCAAGGUUAUAGGGGUUUUGUUGAUUCAAGAAGGGGAUCCACUUGUUUAUAUUAGCAAGUCCUUGCCACCCAAACAUCAAGUAUGUGUGUUUAUGAUACAGAGUUGUUAGUACUAGUAUCUGUUGUCUCAAGAUGGUCUCAUCACUUUUUGGGGAGACAUUUCACUAUCAAAAAUAAUCAAAAAAAUCUCAAGAAUCUAUUGAAUUAACAAAUUCAUACUAAAUUCUAGGUGGCCUAUAUCUCCAAGCUCAUGGCAUUUAAUUUUUCCAUUGAAUAUAAGAAAGGGUUUGAAAACAAGGCUGCAGAUGCUUUGUCCAGGAAUCCUAGUGCUAAGUUAAUGGGUAUUUCUAUCUUACGUCCUCAUGGUUCACACUUGGAUCAAAUUAAAAGAUCUUGGAUGACUGAUCAAUACUUGCAAGCUAUUAUUGGUAAGGUACAGACUUUACCUAAUAAAUCUUUUACUUGGUUUCAUAACCAGUUGAAAUGGAAUGUCAGGUUAGUUAUUGGAAAUAAUGCUAUGCUUAAAAGGUCUAUCAUUUCUCUUUGGAAUGAAUUUACUCAACAAGGACAUUUUGGUAUGGAUGGCACUAUUAAAAGACUGUAAUCACUAUUUUAUUAGAAAUAUCUAGUGCAAGACACUAGAUAUUUUAUCAACAAAUGUGAUAUUUGUCAAAGGCAUAAGUAAAAUAUUGCAACUGUCUAGGUCUUUUACAACAUUUACGAGUACCUGAUGGUGUUUGGAUAGACAUUUGCUUGGAUUUCAUUGAGGGUUUGCCUAAGUCCAAUUGUAAGGAAGUAAUACUGGUGGUAGUGGAUAGAUUGAGCAAGUAUGGGCAUUUCUUGGCAUUGUCUCACCCUUAUACAACCCAAUCAGUGGCUCAAUAUUUCAUUAACAAUGUAUUUAAGCUGCAUGGCAUGCCUAACACAUUAACUAUUGAUAGAGAUCCCAUCUUCCUUAGUAAAAUCUAGAAAGAAUUGUUUAACUUGUAAGGUUUUCAGCUGCAGAGAACUACUGCAUCCUAUCCACAAAAUGAUGGCCAAACAAACGUAUUGAAUAGAACCUUAGAAACUUACUUAAGGUGUUUUUAUUCUGACAAGCCAAAGGAUUGGUGCUCUCAUGUACCCUUGGCUGAAUGGUGGUACAAUACCACCCAUCAUACCCCUAUCAAAUGUACCCCUUAUGAGGUUUUGUAUAGAUAAAACCCCCUAUUUAUCUUUCCUACUUAGCUGGUGAGGCUGCUACUGAAAUGGUUGGUAGAUCCUUGGUUGCUAGAGAACCCAUUAUUUAGUUGUUAAAAUUUUAUAUUGCUAGAGUGCAACAGAAAAUGAGAGAUAUUACUAACAAACACAAGUCUAACAGGUCCUUUGAGGUAGGAGAUUAGGUAUAUUUAAAGCUUCAACAUUACAAGCAAACUUUUGUGGCUGUAAGAUUAUUUCCUAAACUAGCAGCUAAAUACUAUGGACCUUAUCUUGUGGAUGUUAAGGUGGGUGCAGUGGCUUAUAGGUUAUUACUUCUAGCAGAUGUCCUCAUCCAUCCCUUUUUUCAUGUUUUACAAUUGAAAAGGUGCUAGGAGGUUCCUUCUGGUAUCAUUCAUCCUUCUAUUGGUCAGCUGUCAAGUCCGUAUUGUCCAAGCCCUGAGGCUAUUAUUGACAGAAGACUUGUGAAGAGAGGCAAUAGAGUUGUGGUACAAGUUUUUGUUAAAUGGUCUAUCUUUGAUAAGACUCAAGAUACUUGAGAAUUUGAUUCGGAGUUGCAACAUAGAUUUCCUACAUUCCAUCUCUGAGGACAAGGAUUUUCUUCAACAAGGGGGUACUAAUACAAUGUUGAGAAGAAUUGAUUAAAUAGGAUGAAAGAAAAACAUUUCCAGUAGAAUUUAAAUGUUAGGUAUUACUGUUCAUUUCACUGUUCAUUGUUCACAAAAUUAGUUACUACUAUUACAAGUUGUAGUUAGGUCAUUGUUAUGUUGUGGUUGGGUGUUUUUUCUAUUAGUUUGUUAGCUUAGCUGUCAAAUGCAGUUGAUAAGGUGUAUAAAUAACUGAUGUAAGCUACUUGAUCAUUUCAUUCAUAGUACAAUCUUUGUUCUUCUCUCUUAUUCUUCUUCCUCAUUGAUUUUCUCGAUUAAUACCCUGAAAUUGAUACCAUCUUCUUUGAGGAUUAUCCUCCUAGAUUAACAUAUGUCGCUCAACUUCUUUGUUCUUGCAUCAUUCAAACUUUUUCCUAAGAAAGAAUAAAGCAAAUAUGUAAAAAUCUUUUUCAACAAGGAAAUCUUUCCACCCAAAAAGAUAAUUUUAAUUAAGGUAAACAAUUGUAUAAGGUAGAAAAUUUAGGGCAUAUUUUAAUCCUAUGUUGGCACCAACUUAGUCCUAAAAAGUUCAUGAGUCGAAUACUUACUUAUAAGAGUACUUACUACAUAGUAUGUCUUGGUCCUCCUAAACCUUACAACUUUUAAAUUCGUCAUUAUGGAUGUAGGAAAAUAAGAGGGUUUCCUAAUAUUUUCUAUUUAUGGGAAAAAGAAUGAUAACUAGAGUUAGCUACUCGAAAAAACUCUCUUCAUCUUUUAAGAGUUUUUAGGCCGUGGACAGUGAAAAUACAUCCAUUUCCAGAGGAUGUUUAACGAAAUGUGGCUCAAAUCAUGAUUACUGAAAUUUGUUUGGGAUAAAAUUUCUUCGAAAUUAGUGUUUACAAUUAAAUACAACAUGCAUAGACCUUGAUCUUUGUUGUUGUGCCUUAAUUAAUGCAGUUUAUCGAAAGUUGGAUUGCUACACCUAAAUUCAAGACAGAAAAGAAACAUUGAAUAAAUUGGUAAGUUUAGUUGUUUCUCUUUCCUAGUCUGUUUAAAGUUUGUUAGCUAUAUUUCAGUUUCUCUUUUUUAGUUAGUUGUAGACUCAGUAAACAUAGGGUGUGUUUGGUAUGAUGGAAAAUAUUUUCUAGAAAAUGUUUUCACAACUUACCACUUUUUGUUAUAUAAAAUCCGGUUGAAAUGUUCUCUUAUUAGCCAGAUGACAAAUUCAACUAAAAAACAUAAUUUGACUUACCAAAGUCUCCUCUCAAGUAAAUGUCAAAGUUGAAAGUGAUGUACGAAAUAAAAUUUGACAUAAAAAAUUGGUCAAAGAGCAGUAGUUGCGGUAAGAACAACAACGCCAAUAAUGGUCAACAAGAAGAAUAUGAAGAUGAUAAUGAAUCAAAAGAUGAUGAAUAAAGCAUCAGCAAUAAUGAACAACAAAUAUCGUGAAGAAAGAGAAAAUAACAACGGAUGAGGAGAGAGAAAAAUGCAUCUUUUUUCCCUUCGUUUCCCAUUAUAUUAACUAACAUUUGGAUCAAAGUGUAAAUUUAAAAACGUGUAGGUUAAUUUGAAAUUUUCCAAAAUUUCUUAUUCCAUAAUUAAGUAAUUUUCAUCUCCACUCAAUUAUUAAGACUUGUGUCACCUUCACCUCAUUUUAAAACUUUUUUGUUACCUGUAGCCCAAAGCCCCAAGAGACUUGACUUGGAGUGUUGUAAUUUCAUUGAUUAGAAAAACUUGCUUAAAUAUAUGAAGUCAGUAACUGACUGUUGCUAAAAAAANNNNNNNNNNNNNNNNNNNNNNNNNNNNNNNNNNNNNNNNNNNNNNNNNNNNNNNNNNNNNNNNNNNNNNNNNNNNNNNNNNNNNNNNNNNNNNNNNNNNNNNNNNNNNNNNNNNNNNNNNNNNNNNNNNNNNNNNNNNNNNNNNNNNNNNNNNNNNNNNNNNNNNNNNNNNNNNNNNNNNNNNNNNNNNNNNNNNNNNNNNNNNNNNNNNNNNNNNNNNNNNNNNNNNNNNNNNNNNNNNNNNNNNNNNNNNNNNNNNNNNNNNNNNNNNNNNNNNNNNNNNNNNNNNNNNNNNNNNNNNNNNNNNNNNNNNNNNNNNNNNNNNNNNNNNNNNNNNNNNNNNNNNNNNNNNNNNNNNNNNNNNNNNNNNNNNNNNNNNNNNNNNNNNNNNNNNNNNNNNNNNNNNNNNNNNNNNNNNNNNNNNNNNNNNNNNNNNNNNNNNNNNNNNNNNNNNNNNNNNNNNNNNNNNNNNNNNNNNNNNNNNNNNNNNNNNNNNNNNNNNNNNNNNNNNNNNNNNNNNNNNNNNNNNNNNNNNNNNNNNNNNNNNNNNNNNNNNNNNNNNNNNNNNNNNNNNNNNNNNNNNNNAGACAAGUGCAAACUACAUCUGUUUGUAAGAAUUUACAAUGGUUGUUACAAGGCACCAUAUUCUCUUCUGAUUUUUAUUGUUACCCUUGGGUAAUGUGGAUAUUGUUUUUAGGGUAAAAUGAUUAAAUACCCUUGGUAGGAUUCUAUUUGACUUUAAAAAUAGGAUAAUAAAAUUUAUAUAUCAAGGAAAGAGGUGUGUGUUGAGAGGUGCUACCAGUCAGCUUAAGUCCUCUAAGGUCAGCUCCUUGAUCAAGAAGAUAAAAUCUGAGGCCAACUGCUACAUGAUAGAGGUGGUUGAUACGACAAUAUCAGAGAUAUAUUGUCACAACACAUAAGCUACGAAAGGUACAGACCUACAUCCUGCAUUAUCUGCAUUAGUGCAAAAGUUUUCUAUCAUCUUUGAGACACCUACUAUAUUACCUCCACAUAGAGGAUCAUAUGAUCAUAAAAUACCACUUAUUGAGUCUACAAAUCUAGUAAAUAAAAGAUCCUACAGAUAUCCUGGUGUAAAGUAGAGAAACUGAUUCAGGAAAUAUUAGAUCAAUGCAUGGAAAGGACGUGAAUUGAUAGAAGAAGGUUUUGACAUUCCUCAAGGUGGGAAAAAACUGAUGACCAUCUCAUUACAAGCUUUCACUGGGGCUGUUGGAUAUCAGACAAUUAGGGUCACUGGUUAUUAUGAGAAAAGACCCUUACAUGUCCUAAUUGACACUGGAAGUAUCCAUAACUUCCCUGACCAAGGGGUGACCAAGAAGUUGGGUUGCAAUGCCAAUACUAUAGUUGAACAAUCUGCCAGUGUGGCUGAUGAAAGACAAGUGCAAACUACAUCUGUUUGUAAGAAUUUACAAUGGUUGUUACAAGGCACCAUAUUCUCUUCUGAUUUUUAUUGUUACCCUUGGGUAAUGUGGAUAUAGUUUUGGGGGUGCAACGGUUAAAUACCCUUGGAAGGAUUUUAUUUGACUUUAAAGACAAAAUAAUAGAAUUUAUGUAUCAGGGGAAUAGACAUGUAUUGAAAGGUACUACUAAUCAACUUAAGUCCUCUAAGGCCAGCUCCUUGAUCAAAAAGAUGGAAUAUGAGGCCAACUGCUAUAUGAUAGAGGUGGUUGAUACAACAAUAUUAGAGAUAUAUUGCAACCUACAAGCUACAAAAGGUACAGAGCUACAUCUUGCAUUAUCUGCAUUAGUGCAAUAGUUUUCUAUCAUCUUUGAGACACCUACUACAUUACCUCCACGUAAAGGAUCAUAUGAUCAUAAAAUACCACUUAUUAAGUCUGCAAAUCCAGUAAAUAAAAGAUCCUACAGAUAUCCUGGUAUGAGUAGAGAAACUGGUUCAGAAAAUGUUAGAUCAAUAAAUGAAAAGGACCUAAAUUGAUAGAAGAAGGUUUUGACAUUCCUCAAGGUGGGAAAGAACUGAUGACCAUCUCAUUACAAGCUUUCACUAGGCUGUUGGAUAUCAGACAAUUAGAUUUUUAUUGUUACCCUUGGGUAAUGUGGAUAUUGUUUUUGGGGUACAACGGUUAAAUACCCUUGGUAGGAUUUAUUUGACUUUAAAGACAAAACAAUAGAAUUUAUGUAUCAGGGGGAAAGGCAUAUAUUGAAAUGUGCUACUAAUCAACUUAAGUCCUCUAAGGCCAGCUCCUUGAUCAAGAAAAUAAAAUAUAAGGCCAACUGCUACAUGAUGGAUAUGGUUGAUACUGCAAUAUCAAAGAUAUAUUGUCACAACAUACAAGCUACGCAAAGUACAAACCUACAGCCGGCAUUAUCUAUAAUGGUGCAGUAGUUUUCUAUUAUCUUUGAGCCACCUACUACAUUACCUCUACAUAGAGGAUCAUUUGAUCAUAAAGUACCACCUAUUGAGUUUGUGAAUUCGGUAAAUAAAAGACCCUAUAAAUACCCUAGUAUGAAGAAAGAUAUAAUAGAGAAACUGAUUUAUAAAAUAUUAGAUCAAUGAAUAGGAAGGACCUAAAUUGAUAGAAGAAGGUUUAGACAUUCCUCAAGGUGAGGAGGAACUGGUGGCCAUCUCAUUACAAGCUUUCACUAGGGUUGUUGGAUAUCAGAUAAUUAGGGUCACUGGUUAUCAUGAGAAAAGACCCUUACAAGUCCUAAUUAACACUGGAAGUACCCAGAAAUUCAUUGACUAAGGAGUCUCCAAGAAGUUGGGUUAAAAUGCCAGUACUAUAGUUGAAUAAUCUGUUAGUGUGGCUGAUGGUAGACAAGUGCAAACUGGUUUUGUUUGCAAGAAUUUGCAAUGGUUGUUACGGGGCACCACAUUCUCUUCUGAUUUUUUGUUGUUACCCUUGGGUAAUGUGGAUACUGUUUUGGGUGUGCAAUGGUUAAAUACCCUUGGUAGGAUUCUGUUUGACUUUAAGAACAGGGUAAUAAAAUUUAUGUAUCAAGGAAAGAUGCAUGUGUUGAGAGGUGCUACCUUUCAACUUAAGUUCUCUAAGGCCAGUUCCUUGAUCAAGAAGAUGGAAUAUAAGGACAACUGCUACAUCAUAGAGGUGGUUGAUACUACAAUAGCAGAGAUAUAUUGUCACAAAUCUAUGCAAGGUACAGACCUACAUCUUGCAUUAUCUGCAUUGGUGCAGGAGUUUUCUAUUAUCUUUGAGCCACCUACUAUAUUAUUCCACAUAGAGGAUCAUUUGAUUAUAAAAUACCACUUAUUGAGUCUGCAAAUCUAGUAAAUAAAAGACCCUACAGAUACCCUGGUGUGAAAAAAGAUAUCAUAGAGAAAUUGGUUCAGGGAAUGUUAGAUCAAGGUGUAAUUCAACAUAGCUCUAGUCCUUAUGCUUCUCCUGUUGUGUUGGUGGUAAAAAAAAUAGUAGUUGGAGGUUAUGUGUUGACUACAGAGAGGUAAAUCAGCUGACUAUAAAAGAUAAAUUUCCCUUUCCCAUUAUUGAAGAUUUGUUAGAUGAAUUACAUAGAGCUUCUGUGUUGCUGGUAACCACUAACUAAGAAUGAUUGAGAGUGAUGCUCAUAAACAAUUUUCAAAACUCACGAAGGUCACUAUGAGUUCUUGGUUAUGCCUUUUGGCCUGACUAAUGCACUAUAUUUAUUUCAAAGCUUGAUGAAUUAUGUUUUCAAACCAUUACUAAGGAAAUCAUUGUUAGUCUUCUUUGAUGACAUUUUAAUCUUUAGUAAUUCUAUGUCUGCUCAUAUUGCUGAUGUUAAUGUGGUGUUUGAACUUAUGGUUAAGCAUCAGUUGUAUGCAAAAAUGGCUAAGUAUGCAUUUGGGGUGCCUAAAGCUAAGUAUUUAGGCCAUGUGAUUAGUGCAUAAGGUGUUGCUAUUGAUCCAAAAAAAAAUACUAGCAGUUCAACAGUGGCUACUUCCUAUCAAUCUUAAGUAGUUAAGAGGAUUUCUUGGUCUGUCUAGUUACUACAUAAGGUUCAUAAAGGGGUUUGGUGUUAUUUGCAGGCCCUUACAUGAUCUACUCAAGAAAGAGGGGUUCUUGUAGAAUGAAAUUUCUACUAAAGCUUUUGAAGAACUCAAAUAGGCACUGAUUUCUACUCUUGUUUUGGCUAUGCCUAAUUAUAAUCAUACCUUUGCGGUAGAGACAGAUACUAGUGGCAAGGGUAUAGCGGUUGUAUUGAUGCAAUAAGGGCAUUCACUUGCUUAUAUUAGCAAGCCCUUUGUACCCAAACAUCAAGCUGUAAGCGUUUAUGAUAGAGAGUUGUUAGCACUGCUCUUUGUUGUUUCACGAUGGUCUCAUCACUUAUUGGGAAGGCAUUUCAUCGUUUAAAUUGAUCAAAAAGCUCUCAAGUAUCUAUUAAAUCAACACAUUCAUACUGAUUUUUAGGUGUACUGUAUCUCCAAGCUUAUGGCAUUUGAUUUCGCCAUUGAAUACAAGAAAGGGGUGGAAAACAAAGUUGUUGAUGCCUUGUCCAGGAAUCCUAGUGCUGAGUUUCUAGCCAUUUCUAUCUUAGGUCCUCAUGGUUCCCUUUUGGAUCAAAUUAAUAUCUCUUGGACUAUUGAUCAACACCUGGAAGCUAUUAUUGGUAAGGUGCAGACAUCACCUUACAAAUCUUUUACUUGGUUUCAUAACCAGUUGAAAUGGAAUGUCAGGUUAGUUAUUGGAAAUAAUGCUAUGCUUAAAAGGUCUAUCAUUUCUCUUUGGAAUGAAUUUACUCAACAAGGACAUUUUGGUAUGGAUGGCACUAUUAAAAGACUGUAAUCACUAUUUUAUUAGAAAUAUCUAGUGCAAGACACUAGAUAUUUUAUCAACAAAUGUGAUAUUUGUCAAAGGCAUAAGUAAAAUAUUGCAACUGUCUAGGUCUUUUACAACAUUUACGAGUACCUGAUGGUGUUUGGAUAGACAUUUGCUUGGAUUUCAUUGAGGGUUUGCCUAAGUCCAAUUGUAAGGAAGUAAUACUGGUGGUAGUGGAUAGAUUGAGCAAGUAUGGGCAUUUCUUGGCAUUGUCUCACCCUUAUACAACCCAAUCAGUGGCUCAAUAUUUCAUUAACAAUGUAUUUAAGCUGCAUGGCAUGCCUAACACAUUAACUAUUGAUAGAGAUCCCAUCUUCCUUAGUAAAAUCUAGAAAGAAUUGUUUAACUUGUAAGGUUUUCAGCUGCAGAGAACUACUGCAUCCUAUCCACAAAAUGAUGGCCAAACAAACGUAUUGAAUAGAACCUUAGAAACUUACUUAAGGUGUUUUUAUUCUGACAAGCCAAAGGAUUGGUGCUCUCAUGUACCCUUGGCUGAAUGGUGGUACAAUACCACCCAUCAUACCCCUAUCAAAUGUACCCCUUAUGAGGUUUUGUAUAGAUAAAACCCCCUAUUUAUCUUUCCUACUUAGCUGGUGAGGCUGCUACUGAAAUGGUUGGUAGAUCCUUGGUUGCUAGAGAACCCAUUAUUUAGUUGUUAAAAUUUUAUAUUGCUAGAGUGCAACAGAAAAUGAGAGAUAUUACUAACAAACACAAGUCUAACAGGUCCUUUGAGGUAGGAGAUUAGGUAUAUUUAAAGCUUCAACAUUACAAGCAAACUUUUGUGGCUGUAAGAUUAUUUCCUAAACUAGCAGCUAAAUACUAUGGACCUUAUCUUGUGGAUGUUAAGGUGGGUGCAGUGGCUUAUAGGUUAUUACUUCUAGCAGAUGUCCUCAUCCAUCCCUUUUUUCAUGUUUUACAAUUGAAAAGGUGCUAGGAGGUUCCUUCUGGUAUCAUUCAUCCUUCUAUUGGUCAGCUGUCAAGUCCGUAUUGUCCAAGCCCUGAGGCUAUUAUUGACAGAAGACUUGUGAAGAGAGGCAAUAGAGUUGUGGUACAAGUUUUUGUUAAAUGGUCUAUCUUUGAUAAGACUCAAGAUACUUGAGAAUUUGAUUCGGAGUUGCAACAUAGAUUUCCUACAUUCCAUCUCUGAGGACAAGGAUUUUCUUCAACAAGGGGGUACUAAUACAAUGUUGAGAAGAAUUGAUUAAAUAGGAUGAAAGAAAAACAUUUCCAGUAGAAUUUAAAUGUUAGGUAUUACUGUUCAUUUCACUGUUCAUUGUUCACAAAAUUAGUUACUACUAUUACAAGUUGUAGUUAGGUCAUUGUUAUGUUGUGGUUGGGUGUUUUUUCUAUUAGUUUGUUAGCUUAGCUGUCAAAUGCAGUUGAUAAGGUGUAUAAAUAACUGAUGUAAGCUACUUGAUCAUUUCAUUCAUAGUACAAUCUUUGUUCUUCUCUCUUAUUCUUCUUCCUCAUUGAUUUUCUCGAUUAAUACCCUGAAAUUGAUACCAUCUUCUUUGAGGAUUAUCCUCCUAGAUUAACAUAUGUCGCUCAACUUCUUUGUUCUUGCAUCAUUCAAACUUUUUCCUAAGAAAGAAUAAAGCAAAUAUGUAAAAAUCUUUUUCAACAAGGAAAUCUUUCCACCCAAAAAGAUAAUUUUAAUUAAGGUAAACAAUUGUAUAAGGUAGAAAAUUUAGGGCAUAUUUUAAUCCUAUGUUGGCACCAACUUAGUCCUAAAAAGUUCAUGAGUCGAAUACUUACUUAUAAGAGUACUUACUACAUAGUAUGUCUUGGUCCUCCUAAACCUUACAACUUUUAAAUUCGUCAUUAUGGAUGUAGGAAAAUAAGAGGGUUUCCUAAUAUUUUCUAUUUAUGGGAAAAAGAAUGAUAACUAGAGUUAGCUACUCGAAAAAACUCUCUUCAUCUUUUAAGAGUUUUUAGGCCGUGGACAGUGAAAAUACAUCCAUUUCCAGAGGAUGUUUAACGAAAUGUGGCUCAAAUCAUGAUUACUGAAAUUUGUUUGGGAUAAAAUUUCUUCGAAAUUAGUGUUUACAAUUAAAUACAACAUGCAUAGACCUUGAUCUUUGUUGUUGUGCCUUAAUUAAUGCAGUUUAUCGAAAGUUGGAUUGCUACACCUAAAUUCAAGACAGAAAAGAAACAUUGAAUAAAUUGGUAAGUUUAGUUGUUUCUCUUUUCCUAGUCUUUUAAAGUUUGUUAGCUAUAUUUCAGUUUCUCUUUUUUAGUUAGUUGUAGACUCAGUAAACAUAGGGUGUGUUUGGUAUGAUGGAAAAUAUUUUCUAGAAAAUGUUUUCCUAUUUUUUUUUGUUUGGUUGCAAUAAAAUGUCUAGAAAAUAUUUUCCACAACAACUCAUUUUCCUCAAUUUGAGGGAAAAUGACUUUCCUCAUGGAUCAAGGGAAGUCAUUUUCCAAAAAAUGACAAAUGUGACUUAUGAUCCACCCCCAUCCCUCUGUCCCACCCCAACAACACUCAUAUUCACAUGACUAAAAAAAUUCACAUUUCUAAAAAAUUUACAUUAAUCGAAAAUAUUUUUCACCGUUCUUUGCGUCAAUUUUUCACAGUUUGAAAUAAAAAACAUGGUGAAGCCCGAAUUUUUUUCAUUUUCAAUGUUCGUUGAAUGUAUUGUUAUUUUCAUAUGCGUAGAGGAAGACUUACUUAUGUUACUUUUGCUAAUUGCAUAUUUCAUUUUGUCAUCGAUGUAACUUGUUUCAUGAGGUUGAAUAAGCUUGUCGUUCCGUUAUAUUUCUAUUGAUUGUAGUAUCUUGAGAUUGUUCUGACAAAAUAUUGAAAAGUGUAUCCUAUAUUUGCUAAUUAAUAGUUGCUUAAAUUUAGUGAUUGUAAUAUUUUAGUAUUCGAUAUUGAUAUUAUUUGUUAUACUUAAAUUAGUUCUUACAAAUUGUUGAGUUGCUAGAAGCACUGAUAUACUAGUUAACAGUUAGUAGUAUUUUCUAAAAAAAUAUUCUUUCACUCACCGAUCAAACACCAUAAAAUAUUUUUUGAAAAAUAUUUUCCACUAACCAACCAAACAUGAGAAAAUAAGUAGAAAACCAACUUAUUUCCCAGGAAAACACUUUCCAUGGAAAAUAUUUUCCAUCGUACCAAACACACCCUUAGUCUAGUAGUUUUGUUAGGAACAGUCAGUUAUUGACUUCAUGUAUUUUAGCAAGAUUUCUUGAUCAAUAAAAUUACAGUUCAAGUCAAGCCUCUUUUUUUUCUUCUUUAGUUCUUUUUUUUUCCUUUGUUAAACAUUAACAUUGGUACAGCGCCUUUUAGUUUUUAAGGGAACUGUGAGAUUUUUGUGAGUUAUAUUGAUUCAGUGAAACCCAAACAUUAAUUGGAUUCCAUAAAAUCAAAUAAAAGAAUUGUGGAAGGUGAGAGCAAUUUUUCGUCAAUUUCCCUACCAAUUUUUGAUAGAGAAAACUAUUUGGACUGUUAAGAUGAAAGCCUACAUACAUGUAAUCUCUGGGAGGCAAUACAGGGGGAUUAUGAAGUUUCUCCUACAGUGGCUUAAAUAAAAACUCACAAAGGGAAGAAGGUCAGAAAGCCAAAGGUGAAGAUGUGUCAUUAUGCUGCAGUAUCUCUUAAUAUUUUUUGUAGAAUAAAGACUCUCAGUACAACAAAGGCAAUAUGAGACUUUCUGAAAAAGGAAUAUUAUGGAAAUGAAAGAAUUCGAAGCAUUAAGGUCUUUAACCUGAUGAGGGAAUUUGAAAUGCGAAUAAAUUUUAGACAAUUAAAAAAUACUCAAAUAAACUUAUCAGACUGGCCAAUAAGUUAAAGUUGCUUGGUGGUGAAGUUUCAAGUACAAGGAUUGCGUAGAAAAUUCUUGUUACUUUACUUGAAAAGUUUGAAGCAACAAUAAUUUCUUCAUUGAAGAAUACAAAAGAUCUAUCAGAUAUUACUUUGGUGGAAAUUUUGAACACCUUGCAAGCACAGGACCAAAGAAGAAUGAUGAGGAACGAGACAGUUGUUGAAGGAGCGUUGCAAGCAAGGUACCAAUUCAAUUGAUCCAGAGGCAA